rnacentral:rRNA from 1 species
AUGAACGCUAGCGACAGGCUUAACACAUGCAAGUCGCGGGGCAGCAAGUAUCUGGCUUGCCAGAUACGAUGGCGACCGGCGCACGGGUGAGUAACGCGUAUCCAACCUGCCCAUAACCACGGCACAGCCCGUCGAAAGGCGGAUUAAUGCCGUAUGAGGUUCCAGAGUAGCAUUAUUGUGGAACGAAAGGAUUGGCGGUUAUGGAUGGGGAUGCGUCCGAUUAGCUUGUUGGCGGGGUAACGGCCCACCAAGGCAACGAUCAGUAGGGGUUCUGAGAGGAAGGUCCCCCACAUUGGAACUGAGACACGGUCCAAACUCCUACGGGAGGCAGCAGUGAGGAAUAUUGGUCAAUGGGCGAGAGCCUGAACCAGCCAAGUAGCGUGCAGGAUGACGGCCCUAUGGGUUGUAAACUGCUUUUAUAAGGGAAUAAAGUGAGUCUCGUGAGACUUUUUGCAUGUACCUUAUGAAUAAGGACCGGCUAAUUCCGUG